CGCGCAGGCGGCCCGGCCAGUCCCUUGUGAAAUCCCACGGCUCAACUGUGGAACUGCAGGGGAUACUGCCGGGCUUGAGUCCGGGAGAGGGGAGUGGAAUUCCCAGUGUAGCGGUGAAAUGCGUAGAUAUUGGGAGGAACACCGGUGGCGAAGGCGGCUCCCUGGACCGGUACUGACGCUGAGGCGCGAAAGCUAGGGGAGCAAACG
rnacentral:rRNA from 1 species